UACGUAGGGUGCAAGCGUUAAUCGGAAUUACUGGGCGUAAAGCGUGCGCAGGCGGUUGUGCAAGACAGAUGUGAAAUCCCCGGCUCAACCUGGAACUGCAUUGUGACUGCACGGCUGGAGUGCGGCAGAGGGGAUGGAAUUCCGCGUGUAGCAGUGAAAUGCGUAGAUAUGCGGAGGAACACCGAUGGCGAAGGCAAUCCCUGGGCCUGCACUGACGCUCAUGCACGAAAGCGUGGGAGCAAACAGG
rnacentral:rRNA from 1 species